UAAAAUGAGAUAUACGACUCUUUGUGUUUACAUUUAAUCCCUCUGAAUAAGAAGAUAAGUUUACGAUUAAAAAUUUCAAUUUUGAACGUCAGUCUAUUAUUUUAAUCUGAUAUUAUUUGUUUAUAGCUACUAUUGCCAGGCCAGUUUGCGGCAGUUUUUUUUUUUUUUUUUUUAAUUCUAAAUGAUCCUGCAAAAAAUCCUCAUUUCAAAGCUGGAUCCUGACGCAUUAUCACGGAUGUAUUUUUUUUAAUUUGGUCUUUUAACCCAAAUAUAUCCUAUAAUUUUUGUAGUGUGCUGGAUGGGGGACGUAGCUGUAGCAUUUUUCAUCACUCUCUUCGACGCCUCCUGUGAUGUUUCCAGCAGUAUACCAGCGGGGAAGCCAAAACGGAACAACAAGAAAAUAGUUUCUUAAAAGUACAAAGUUAUUUACAAAGGCCGUCUGUAAUACCCAAGUGUGUGAGAAAACAGGGGAAAUAAAUCGACGGCUGUUUUGUUAUAUUUA